GAAUGGGUUUUAAGCUCCAAAUUUCAGAACCCUACGUCCGAAGAACGAGUAACCCGCGACCCGCAAUCCUUGAGAAACAGCGAGGGGUAUAAGCCCAGAUUCGAAGCUCAUAAAGAGAUUUCUAAUUACCAGUUUCGAUUCAGAAUGCUCGGUCGAAGUAGGUUCCUCUCGUUCCCCAUGGUAAUUGGCGCUGUUAUCAUUGGUGUUGUCUCUGGGAAAGCAAUAUUUGGGCCACCUCUUGAUGAAUACUGGAGAAAGAAGCUGGAUGAAGAGGCAAGCGCAAAGGAUUCAGGUACAACUACUCAAGUUAGCAUAGGUCAGGAUAGUCAUGUUUAGCGACAUGAAUAUGCAGAGAUUGGAUAAAUAUUGUUGCUGAAACAAUGGUUAAAUGCAUAAUCUUACAUGGAUAUUUAAGAAUGGGUUCGGCACGUACGACCUUACUUGAAUAGGAUCUGCUCUAUAGGUUGUACAAUUGUAACUUUGAGUUCAAAGGAUGCCUUCUUUUAUAUGGAUUAUAUGCACACAAAAAUGGGAGUUCAUGUCAUGA